UACGUAGGGGGCAAGCGUUGUCCGGAAUGACUGGGCGUAAAGGGUGCGUAGGUGGUUGUUUAAGUUGGAAGUGUAAUACCCAGGGCUUAACCCGGGUGCUGCUUCCAAGACUGAAUGACUUGAGUGCAGGAGAGGAAAGCGGAAUUCCUAGUGUAGCGGUGGAAUGCGUAGAUAUUAGGAGGAACACCGGAGGCGAAGGCGGCUUUCUGGACUGUAACUGACACUGAGGCACGAAAGCGUGGGGA
rnacentral:rRNA from 1 species